rnacentral:rRNA from 1 species
CCUACGGGAGGCAGCAGUGGGGAAUCUUGCGCAAUGGGCGAAAGCCUGACGCAGCCAUGCCGCGUGAAUGAUGAAGGUCUUAGGAUUGUAAAAUUCUUUCACCGGGGACGAUAAUGACGGUACCCGGAGAAGAAGCCCCGGCUAACUUCGUGCCAGCAGCCGCGGUAAUACGAAGGGGGCUAGCGUUGCUCGGAAUUACUGGGCGUAAAGGGAGCGUAGGCGGAUAGUUUAGUCAGAGGUGAAAGCCCAGGGCUCAACCUUGGAAUUGCCUUUGAUACUGGCUAUCUUGAGUGUGGGAGAGGUAUGUGGAACUCCGAGUGUAGAGGUGAAAUUCGUAGAUAUUCGGAAGAACACCAGUGGCGAAGGCGACAUACUGGCCCAUUACUGACGCUGAGGCUCGAAAGCGUGGGGAGCAAACAGGAUUAGAUACCCUGGUAGUCCACGCUGUAAACGAUGAGUGCUAGUUGUCGGCAUGCAUGCAUGUCGGUGACGCAGCUAACGCAUUAAGCACUCCGCCUGGGGAGUACGGUCGCAAGNUUAAAACUCAAAAUGAAUUGACGG